UUAAUAAUAAUAAUUAAAAUGUAAUUGUCAUUUCACUUGUUGCAUUUUACAUAAUUUAUAUACUUUAUGUUUUAUUAAAAGAAUUAUAAAUUGCACCAGCUAAAACAACGACGCUGCUGAAUGAUUAACAAGGACAGAAUUUUUUGUACUAAAACGCGGAUAAUAUCUCAGGACCAAUUAGCGAACACGUUGUCCUUUUGUGUCGUCAGAAGGGUGCACGUGAUUUCACGGGUCUUCGUCGUAGCGAAAGGCGACCGCGCAUCUGCAGGACGGAGGGAAGAGCGUAAAAUUUAAAUAAAUGUCCGCCGGAUACGGCGAAUUAAGUGACAUGCUAAUCACGUCACUGGCAAUACACGCGCGAAUGAAUAAUCGGUUACUUUCUUUCUGCAUGCCGUCUCGCCGGGAAAAACCUGUUUUCGAAACGCACCUUGCGCGAUCGAUAAACAGCAUCGAUUGCGGCGAAUUAUUGUACAAACAUUUAAUUCAUUAUAAAAAUGAUGCAAGAUAAAUCAUACGCCUCUUAUUGUACAAUCAUUUAAAAUAACUUGGAAAUAAUUUAAAAUUACGCCGGAGCAUUAUUUAAUUAUUAAAUAUUAAUAAUAUAGAGAUAAAUAUUAUAAUCCCAACAAUAAUACUUAAUAAUAAUUAAUAAUUAAUUAACAUAAGUGUACUAUGUAAGAGCAUAUAUUUAUUUUACUAUCUGUUCAAAUAUAAAUAUUUAAAAAAGUAAUAUUAUCUAUCUUACAUUUUAUUAUUAGCCUCAAUUUCAAUCUUUUGUACGCGUACAAAGUCAUCGUUAUUUUUAUAUGUAGUUCCUAAAAAUUAUAUAACUUUUUCACAGAUCAUUCAGACGAAUCCAUCUGUACUGAUUCUGUCGCAAGAGUGAACGCAAUUGCGUGUCACGCACUCGGGGCGCAAUCGCGCGGAAACUUCGGACGCUCUCGCCGAGUUUGCCGAGGUGGUCGAAUUCUUUCCCGCGAUGACACGCCCGUAAUGUGUCACCUGGUCGUGUUCGACAACGAAAAAGGGUUGAGCAGUCGAUCGGAAGAAUUUGCCCCUACUGCGAACGCUCGCCCUCCCAAUCGAGUUCAUCGAGACGAAGAAUCGGCCGGUUUUCGCGCGGGGCGUGACCGAUCACGAUUUUCGAACGGGAACGAAAGUUUCGUUCCGCGGACCGAAUCGCGGACUCUCUCUCUCAAACUCAGAUCAUUCAGACGAAAACAUAUCGAAGUCAGAACGAGAAAAACAAUUUACAACAAGAAGAAUAAUAAUUUGCGUAGCAGCGAGCAAAUAAGUUUAGAAAAUUUGUGGUAGAAGUUUAUCGCAAAAAAUAAAUAAAAUUUCCUAAGACAACUUAGUUUGUACUAUAACUCGGUGUGUGCCUGAUUGAUCAUAUUUAAAAAGAAGUCAAAUGUAUCAGUAACUUAGUGCUAAUUAGGGCCACCAUAUGGCGCAUCGAAAAAGAAGAAAUGCUAAGCGUACGCCCUGGUCCUGAGCGAAGCACCUGCGAGCCGGACGGAAUAAUUCAUGGAAAUAGAGGCUCGACAAUUAGGUAAUAAAUAGUCGGAACACCCAGAGCCAGCCACCCCGUGCGCCUAACCCUCCCUCCCUUCCUCCCUCGCGUUUCGCUACGUCGUGCUCGUUGAAAUCGACAGAGGAGUGAAUUAAUAAAACGACCCCCCCCGGGGUUGCGUACGUGCAACGUCCGCGUAAAUGUGCGCGCGCGCCUCGCCGCGCAGAUGUGCCCCGCCGUACGCGCGCGCACGCCGUAAGGGCGCGUUUCUUUUAUUUUAUUGCCGGGGGUUAAUGGAAUAGUUUGCAUGCCCUGAACAAUCAGCGGGCAGGGAUAUAUUGCAUUCCUUCUCGACGAGGACCACCGUCGAUGGAAGGCUUGGUGAUGAUGUUGGAGAUAAUGUUGAUAAAAUGUACCGUUUUCUUAUUGUUAGUCCCUUAAGUAUUUAUAGUUAAUUUGCGUUUCCUAGAAAGUCAGAACGCUUUUAUACCGUAUUGUUCAUUAAUAUGUAUAUCUUAAGUUUGUUAAUAAUAAAAGCGUGCAAUUUUUUAUCCUCGUGAUAAGAUUUAAAAAAUAGCUUUUUUAUUUUUGUAUAUAAGUUUUAGAUUUUCUAUUGUUGAUUAAUAAAUUUUUCAGAUUUUAUUACCAGUACAUGUUGUUAAUUAAAUUUCGUUUUUCUAUCCUUUGUCACGCAAUAGAUUUUAUUAAAUAUCAUUAAGUUUGUCUUUUAUUAUAAAGCAACCGAGUAAUAAUUGUUUUUCCUAUUACGUUCAAAUUUUCCGUCAAAUAGGAGCAAAUGGGAAGUGUCCGCGGGGAAAAAAAUCGGAUUUGCUCGACGCGACCGUGUUCAUUAAACAUAAUGCAGUGUCGGCACAAUGCGCGACGACAGCUUUUUCUCUACAAUCCGAGGCCUACGUCGGGGAGUAGUACAGAAACGACACAAUGCACCGGGUAAAAAAAAAAGAGGUCUCGUCACCUACCAGCACGCCGCGUGAGAUCGCAGAUUCGAAAAAUCUGGGCUGCCAUUAAUCGUUCCUUCGUCCUAGCGACGCGACGCCCUUCGUUGUUGCGCGAUGACACGCGUAAAUCUGUCGCUUAAACGACUUCUUUAACCCGAGUAUGCGUUCGUGCGAUCUCACACUAAAUCGACAUCGAUGCACCCUCGUGCAUAAUGAUAUCGAUGCAUCAGUGUCGUUUAAUUUGCUUCUUCAAAAAAGUUUUAAUAAAACAAAAAAAAAGGGAAUACAUAAAUUCUUUAUAGAAAACUACAGCUGUACACAAAGAAAACUUUAUAAUAAAAGUUGCUUUGGGAAGCAUAGAUUAAGGAAGAAUUAUAAAAAUUUUUACUAUGUUUUUUUAUUAAAUUGUGCCGUACUAUAUGUAUUUGUAUUAUUAUGUAUUUAUAUUAUUAUAUAUUUAUAUUAAUGUUAUUAGUAACAGACAAGUACAAUUAUUACUAUGCUGAAACUGCCAUUUUAUUAACUUCGCUUUUUAAUUCGUUCAAAUCUUGCGGAUCAAGUCGUGCUACACUUGAGGACGUGACCCCUCGAUAUCCUUAUUAGAAGGAUACGCGUCGACCUGAGACCCGGAUUCUCCCGCCGCGGGCUCCGCGCCGUGGGGUUCGCAUAAGUGCGUGCGCUCGGCAAAUCGCACCAUCAAGCGGAGACGACGCAUUGAGCGGAGGCGGUCGUCUGUGAAACGCAUUUAGCUUGUUGGUACACAGAACACGGACGGGAAGAGAGUGCCAGGGUAUCCCCGCGCGAUACACGUAUUGUACGGGCGCACCGACGAUGCGACGUGUGCAAGUGCGUGUCACGAUUCGUUGAGAAUCCGUCCGUCAUUUUUGGAAAUCGCUCUCCCGAGAGAAACCGAGAGUCAACGAGAAGCCAGCGUAAAUUUAUGUUGCAACGAAUGGAAUGCGAGAUGCGAGAGAUAAAUGAGAGUAGCUGUAAAAUAGCCACAAAAAAUGUAGACGUUAUGACGUGACGAUUAAAUAAUGAAUUAAAUAACGAAUCAAAUUGAAAGACAGAUGACAUUUGUACAAAGUGAGAGGCAAAUAUCAGAUAAUAUCGAUUAAAAAAUUUACCCUCUUGAUAAGUUUGUUUCACAAAUAAAGAAAGAAAAGUUGAAAGUCUAUUCUUUAAUGUUUCCCUGUCCGUGUCCCUUUCUAUUCCAAUGGAAAGAAAGGAUCGUACGCGUAAUCUGGCACCUGCGUUUUGUGUCAUUAGACGAUUACGGAUGUAUGUUUCAUACGCGCCCUCCACGUGGAGGGUACAAUCCCCCGCCCCCCCUGACCUUUCUUCCUCUUUUUCUGUCUGUCGGUCUCUCUGCUUCUCUCUCUCUCGCUCUUUUUCUAUCUGCUCUAUUGCCGGCAAAGAGAUCAAAUUCCACUUGAAGUCCCCCAUGAGCUCUUCUCGAAGGCGAUCCUUCAGGAUCCGACAAUGAGACUGGAGUCGUAGAGUGGAGAGAAAACAGAAUCGACAGCAGAUGCGAGCCUCUAUUCUCGACUUGUUCUGUCAAAACACGGACGACGUUUAUAGGUAGCGUAGCGUGGCAAACGGUGCGCGCGAGAGCACGAAGAAUAAAAAGAAAGGCAGAAGUGCGUUUUCCUCUUCGUGCUCGGAAACUUAAUUUAUCGAGCAACGCGUGCCUCUCAUCGCUGCGCGAGAAAUUAGAGUCUUCCGUGUGGUAAACGGAACAAUGGUAAAUCGUUUUUGCAUUGUGUCAAAGUUUGACUUUAUAAUUCCCACAUUUUGUCACAUCCAAUAUUCUCACAAAUAAAAAUUUUAAGUUAUUUGAAUCUUUCAAUUCGCGACUUUUUUUAACCUUUUUUUAAUUUUCCAAAUUUAGUCUCAACAUUUUAAGUUAUAUUAUUUUUAAUCUACAAGUUUACUUAAAAAGUUGCUUCACAUAUUUAGUUGGACUAUUUUUUUGGUCUUAAUAUUUUUUUUACGUACACAAAUUGCGCAAAAAGGAAGAUGGUCUUUAAUUGCGAUUCCUUUCCUGGGUCAUGUGUGAUGUUAGGAGACGUGUCUUUCAAAGCGACGAUGACACAUACGAUUAUCACAGUUCGAUGAACGGGCCGAUCGGUAUCGCCAUAAAUUAUCGGAUCGAAAAACGCGUCUCCGUGCCCUCCCCAUUAUGCAAAAUCACAACAACGACGGGGUCGCUUCGUCCACUUGAAAGUUCGGUCGGGCUCCUCUCGUCGUCAGGCCCUGAAGAGGUCCCGACGAAGGGCGAGAGAGAGUCAUCAAUUACGAUUGGGAAUAAAUCGAAGGCAGAUGCGGCGAUCGCCCGUAGGGCCCGUCGCGGCGGGUGACCAGUUUCUCAACCCCCCCCCGCGGACAAUACGUCUGUUUUCGGCAAGUAUAAAGCGAUACACGAGCCCAAAUACCGAGUGUCACCCUCCGACGCGCGAAUUUCGGAAUUCGUUCCCGUUUCAUUGCGACUGCCUUCAACACGAUGACUUCUUUCGAAGUGACAAUAAUUCCUCUUUCUCUCUUUCUUUCUCAAGGCGAUGCGACAUGGUAAUUUCUCUCAGAGCGUUUGAAGAGAAGUAAUAUUAUUAUAAAUAAUUUCAAAUUAUUUUAAAAGCUUAUAAAACAUAAUUUAAAAAAACAUAUAAAUAAGAAAAAUAAGUCUUAUUUAUUUUAAAACAAUUACGUCAAUAUUACUUGAAAACUUAAUUCCGAGUUAAUUUUCGUCACAAAAUCGAUUCUUUUAUGUAAAUCGCAAAGAUCGACUCUCAUUUCGGCUGAAAGUUUAUACUAAAAUUAAUUGCAAGGAGAGACGGUUGAAUUAUCAGGCAGGGGUCUUAUCUGGUUCCUGUGUCGUUACUUUGACAACUUAAUAAAAAAUAAUCGACUGCUCGUGUUAGUACAUCGUAACGAGGUAUGCGAUAGCUCUUUUAUCUGCAGACCACAGGAAGCCGGUAGCGGGUCCAACCGAUAAAAAUCCUUCGCGAAGCCCUGCGAGACGUGAGAACGUUGUCGGUUUAACUCGUUAAGCUACGCUCGGCGAGAUAUUUUUAUCUGUUAUCGGUUAUAAAACCUCUUUUGUCACGUAACACAAAAAGAUAUGAUAUCGGAGAGAUUACUCUCAUUAUACAGGAUUUAAAUCCUUGAAAGACUUCAAAAAAAAAAAGGCCAAACCUUUUCGAAAAAAGAAAUACACAAUAGAAGAACUAAUAAGUAUUAAAAUUAAUGAUUUGGAUUUCCUUGUUUCUCAAAAUUACAGUCGCCCUAAAUUCAUUGAGAAUCUCGAUUCUUUCGUUAUUUCCUUAAUUCAAAUCGACGCAAAUAUAAACUUCGUUAUCAACUUUCCGCGCUGCGCUACUCGAAUAAAGUCACCGGCCGUAUCGAAUAAUCGCGAAAGGUUACACCCCUCGCAGGGUCACACGAUACUGUCAACGAACGAGUCGAAGAUCCUGCAGACGGGAGGGAGAACGGGGGCUACCCUUCGUAGGGCUUCUUAUAAGAAUUCCUUCGCGCCGGAAUGCAUCGUCGUCAUCGUGUUACACUUGCACCGAGUUUCGCGCAACUGCAAAAGAAAGAGAGAGAGCCCGUCUCGUUUCUCUCCCUUCUCCGUCGAACCGGUUUUUAUUCGUCCUUAAAUCGCACGAAUCGAUGCGUUCCGCCCUACGACUCCUCCGUUUAUUUCUUCCUUCUUUUUUUUUUUAAUCGAACGAUCCCAUGUCAUUUGAAACAAUAAAGCCGAUUCGACGGGGAGAUUCGCAGAUCCGAUUUGGCGGGGUCAGGAUAAUGAUCCCGGAUUGAGCCACGCUUCGACGCCCACGGCGUUACUCCUGCAAGGACGACGGAAGGGAUCCCCUUCUCGCCCUCGCGUAAGGCAAAUACGCGCGGGAUUAAGGUGCAUUAACGUAAUCGACGAUCGCGUCGUAUGUUUCAAUCGCGUCGCGACUUAAUCGUCGUGCACGACCGACAGUCACGAAUCACUCGAACGAUAUCCACGCUUCAAACUCCUGAAAUCAAUUCCAGAGGAUUAUUAGUCGGGACAAUUUUCAUUAUACAGUUUUGAACACUUUCGAAUAUUUCGGAACAAGAUUUCGGCAUGAUUCUCUCUUUUUCAGAACUUCGGAAAUUUUCACUUUACUUUGAGACUGAUAAAUAAUAUGAUUAUAAAAAAAUAACUAGAAGAUCGUUUUAUUUCAGAAAAAAAUUGUAUUCAUAAAUAAUUCACAUUAGUAGACUCUAAUUUCGUCUUUGGGAAAGUUUUUUUUACCUUUUACUUUUAGUUUUUUUUACUUUUCUAUUUGAAUAAGCUAAAAUUUAUAUAUAAUACAAGAACAUUUAAAUUUCUCGGUCAUAUCUUCACUUAAACUGUGACAUCCAAGGACCUUUCAGGGAAAGUACAUAGAGGAAUGGAUUGUUUCAUUCUUUUACAAAUGUUUUCUUUCUUCUGAAUCUUUGAUGUAUCUCUUUGUAUGUCUACUUUUGGAAACUAUCAAAACUAAUCUUGAAAUAAUUUUUCAAAUUAUAAGUUACGGCGGGUUCAUUCUAAAGAUACAGAAAUAUUAUGUCAAAAGAUAUUGGGAUUUUAUUUGUUGUAUUCGUAAAUAGCUCAUUUCACGCUUUGAGAAAACACUUGGCAGAAGGAGCAACGGGCUCAACAAUGACUCUGCUUUUUCAAAUUUAAGGAGAUCCUUUUACCGUACCUUUUUCCAACUUUCCAUUUUUUCGGUCAUACUUCCAGUAGCAACCAAGGACACUUAAAGAAAUGAAUACGAGAAGAUGAUUAACGGAAAACCUAAAAUCUUUUCACUCUCUUACAUAAUGCUUUCCUGCGGGACAUUCCUUUCCACUUAUCUAUUUCCGGAAAAAGAAUGUAUAAAGGCGUGCCCUUUUCACGUCAAGGUAAGUUACUUUCAACGAUACAAGGACGAACGAAAUGGAUACUCGAAAAUGUUUCGUCAUGCUUUAAUGGGUCAUCGGCUGACUGACCGACUCAGAGAAACGUUUCAUUCCUUGUAGCGAAAAUUCGAUGAAGCUAUGAUGUGAAGAAUUUCUCGGAAAUGAAUUUACAUGAAUUAAACGCUACACCACGGGCGAGUUUUCCCUAAAAAAAUAUUCAUUUUUGCACGUAAAAACAAAAUUAAUAUUAAAUUAAAAAGAAAAGAGGAAUAGAUCAAAUCGUGCUGGUCUUAGAAAUCUUCUUGAUAUUAUUUGUAUUAAUUAUAAUACAUAAUAAGAAUCCCUAGAAUAACGAAGCUAUUAGAAUUAUGGCGAUUACUCCGAAUCGCUUCUAUGAAAAUCCGACGGGUGAAUUAACAUCUACUGGUGUGACCGAAGAGAAUGUGAAACUACACGUGUCAUUCGGCAAUCUUAAUAUAUUCUAAAUUAGAUUAUACACAGAGUAUUUCGGUGCAAGCGAAGGGAGACAGGUCGAAACAGAGCGGAGACUGCGACGCAAAUGAUAUCUUUAAUAUAUAAACUCUUUACAAAUAUGUACAAUGUAACAAAAAGUUUCCUCUUUGCGAUAUUCAACUUAAACGUGAAAUGCAAGCAGACGCAACAUUCGAUUCGACAGUGAUUCAUCGUACUCGUUAGCCGAACGCGCGGGAAUCAUCGUGAUUCAUAUAUUUCGUCACUGGCGAGCCGUUCGCACAUUCCUCAUUCGAUGAUAUAAUAUAAAUCAUCGCGGCUAUUGUUGUCUCCGCGACAUUAUCACGCGAAGUUCACGAUGAUCGUUAUCGCACGAGCAAAAGCGGAUCUCGCAUACUCGCAGUGUAGAUACGGUUGAAGAUACGAUACCUUUAAGGGUCGAUCUACAAUAGGUGUAGGAAGCCUUAAGCCAUGAGAAAUCGAUUAGUCGAUUAUUCUACUCGUGUUCGACUGUGAUUAAUUCAUUUCUUACUUAAGUCUUACAUCCAUUGACAGACAGACUAUUAGAGAUUCUCAAAAGUAAGAUUGGGAGUCGUUUAGACAAUUUUUAAUUAGUUUGCCAUGUUUAGGACGCGGUGUCCAAUCUUUAUAUUUGAGGAUCUUUACUACUACGUACGAUACCGUUGACUUUUUCUUUUUACAAAAUACUAUUUAUAUAUUUCUUCGACGCAGAAUCAUUGCAGAUCAAAACUUCAAUAACGUCAAUCAAAUCAAG